ensembl:lncRNA
CUCCUCAAACUGCAGGGACCGCUGCCCGGCCUCUCCUGACCACACUCGGGGGGCACCAGGAAGGAGGCAUCACCCCUCGUCUGUGCUCCCGGCCCGCCGGGGCUGCCCCCAGACACAGCACAAUCCAGCCUAUCCUGGUUGAUACACUCCCACAGCUCCAAAGAACGCAGCUAAGUUUUAUACAAAGCAUGAAGGUAAAUGAUGAUAUCAAAAGCAAAUGCAUUCUAGUUCAAGGGAGCAGCAGCAAGUGCAAAGGCCCUGAAGCAGGAGUAUACCUUGGAUGUUCAAGAAAUGCCAAGGCCAAUGUGGCAAAGAUAUUCAUAAUUUUUUAAAAAAUUAUAAAGAAGAAUGUAUGAGUUGCAAAUGAAAGCUCCCUCAUCCCCUGAUCUUGCUUUCCAACGGAACUUCAUCUGAACUUGGGUGAGAUUUCAUUUUUGUUAUAAAUAGCAUCACAUGGUACAUUCUGCUUUCUACCUACAUGUACGCCCGGGACUCCCUGCCACACUCACACGUCCAGGGUCUCCUCCUGCUUCCCACUCACUGAAUUUGUUCUGUAGUUUGGAUGUACUGUGAUUCAUUACACAGUCCCCUUUGGAUGGGCAUUUGUUUCUAGUUUGUUGCCAUUACAAAUAUUAUUGUACUGAAUGUCCUUUUCCCUGUAUCUUUGCAUAUUUGCUGAAGUGGAUUUGUGGAAUAAAUUUCAAGCUGGAG